CUCCCUGGGGCGGCUUCGCUUUUGUGUCCGGAGCGGCCGCGCGGUUUGCGCGCGAGUGGGGCGGGCGUCCAGAACGCGCUCGGGGAGUCUUUUGUGCUUCGGGGCCGGGAAGACAAAAGGAAUUCUCGGGGUUCCUGGAUCCGGGGAACCGGGGCGAGAUUUCCCCACCUACCCGUCCCCCGCAUCCCUCUGCUUUCUUUCCAUGGCUGCUGAACCGCGAGCCAGCAACGCCUGCCGGGAUCUGGUCCUCUUCUUAGCCGCCCUGCAGGCAGUGCCUUCGUUUGCUGAGGAUCCCUGUACUGGGCCCAAAGAAUGUCCCGAUCAAGGAACUAGCUGGACAAGCUUGUGGUAUGUCUGGCUUAUCCUCCUCACUGUGUUUCUCCUCCUGAUAUGUGGGAUCGGGGCCAGCUGUGUCAAGUUUUGCUGUCGCAAGAAAAGGCCCCCGAUCCAGACAUUUCCACCCACAGCCCAUGAUCUCACCAUCAUCCCCAUGGACCACGACAGCACUGCUCACAGCACCGUCACAUCGUACAGCUCGGUACAAUAUCCUCCGAGUUUCCCCAUCCCCUUCCCUUUUAGGGAAGUAGAUCGGAGCGCGGCGAGCCCCCCGGCUUACAGCCUGUACGCCAUAGAACUGCCGCCGUCGUACGACGAGGCCAUCCGGAUGACGAAACCUUACCUGGAGACGCCGUUUGCGAGCCAGAAACUGGAGGCCCCCACUGCGGAACCGGCAGCUCCGCCCCCAAACCAGGAGCUUCAGACGUUGCCUGAAACAUCCAGUGGCAACUCUGCGGUUGAACAGGAAGGUCCGAGGAGUCCGGAAGCUUCCACAGAAGGGCAGCCAGAGCCCCAUUAGCAUCCCCUCUCCGUUUUCUUAGUGGCAAAAUAACACGGAUACCAGCCUUUUGAUAUUUUCAGACCGUGGAUAAGUGAAUCAGUGGAUACUGGUGGACUGUAGGUUUAACCUUGAGACAGAAACCAGUCACCAGGACCACCGUCAUGUAUGGAAAUAAGGCCUCCAGGGGCAGGCAAGAACAUCCCACUGACGUUUCGAGCGUGCCGAUGAAGCACCGAGUUAAAAAUAAGACUGAGUGAGAGGUGCUGGGUGCAAAUUCGCUCAUCUCGCCGUGUGGAAGGGUGAUUCUCUGGACUUGGAGGCAACAAAGAGGAGGUGACUGUGAAGACUGAGGAUGGCUGAUAAAAAAAACGGGGAAUGGCCCACUUCUGGACCCUUGAGCCCAGGCACCAAAGGGAACUGUCGCCCCGUUAUCAAGACGAACAGCAAUACCAACGAAUUGCAAAUUUGUGCCUCCUUCUGCGAGGACUGAAUUAUCCAGCAAAUUGCUGAAGGGUUAGAUUCGUUGCUAUGUAACGGCCAACGACCUUUGGGCUUGGAAGGUCAUUGUAAUCGUCUACGUCAUGCCUUACAGACAGGUUGGGCCGAGGGUGGUUGGGUGUCAUCCUGAUCCCCUUGGGGUUGUCGGAAGGUCAAAAUGCAUUUUUUAAAUAGAUUUCAGGAAUCAAUCUUGGGAACCAACCCAGAGGCGGUUAACUUUUCUCCAGUCCGCGUAGCCACGGGUGUGGGAUUCUAGGGAGUGAAAGUAACUUUUUUCAAGCUUUGGUAGAGAACUGUUGCUAUCAACAUCAGGAGAGGGUUCCGAGGUUGGUUUGUUGCCCUCAGAGAGAAAACUGU